GGAUAACUUACCCUUUAGGACUGGGAUAACUCUGGGAAACUGGGGAUAAUACUGGAUAUUAGGCUAUGCCUGGAAUGGUUUGCCUUUGAAAUGUUUUUUUUUCGCCUAAGGAUAGGUCUGCGGCUGAUUAGGUCGUUGGUGGGGUAAUGGCCCACCAAGCCGAUGAUCGGUACGGGUUGUGAGAGCAAGGGCCCGGAGAUGGAACCUGAGACAAGGUUCCAGACCCUACGGGGUGCAGCAGGCGCGAAACCUCCGCAAUGUACGAAAGUGCGACGGGGGGAUCCCAAGUGUUAUGCUUUUUUGUAUGACUUUUCAUUAGUGUAAAAAGCUUUUAGAAUAAGAGCUGGGCAAGACCGGUGCCAGCCGCCGCGGUAACACCGGCAGCUCGAGUGGUAGCUGUUUUUAUUGGGCCUAAAGCGUUCGUAGCCGGUUUGAUAAGUCUUUGGUGAAAGCUUGUAGCUUAACUAUAAGAAUUGCUGGAGAUACUAUUAGACUUGAAGUCGGGAGAGGUUAGAGGUACUACCGGGGUAGGGGUGAAAUCCUAUAAUCCUGGGAGGACCACCUGUGGCGAAGGCGUCUAACUGGAACGAUCUUGACGGUGAGUAACGAAAGCCAGGGGCGCGAACCGGAUUAGAUACCCGGGUAGUCCUGGCCGUAAACGAUGUGGACUUGGUGUUGGAAUGGCUUUGAGUUGUUCCGGUGCCGAAGGGAAGCUGUUAAGUCCACCGCCUGGGAAGUACGGUCGCAAGACUGAAACUUAA
rnacentral:rRNA from 1 species